GCCUGGGUGGCUCAGUCGGUUAAGCGUCUGACUUCAGCUCAGGUCAUGAUCUCGCCGUUCGUGGGUUCGAGCCCCACAUCAGGCU
rnacentral:tRNA from 1 species